CUUCUCCUCGAAGCCUUGAAGCCGUAUACUCCUCCUCUGCUCUGGCGCCCCUGUUCCCAAACUCUUUCCUGUCAUCGUCCAAGAAAGCUUCGGCAGAGAGUGGAGAGGAGAGGGAAGAGCACGCCCCGCCGCCGUCUCCCUUUGGCUCCUCCGCCUCACGCGAGCGGAGGACCUAAACACUAAACCCUAAUGAGCACCCCCGGCCCGGCCUCCCCGGCGCAAAUGCGCGCUCCGCCGGCCCCGCCGCUCCCGGCCGCGGUGGGCUGGGAGCUGCAGCAGAUCGAGGCGCGGCUGGAUCAGCACGCCGACCCGCGCGCGCGGCAGAUGCUCGCGGACAUCGGCGAGGCGGCCGCGCUGCGGGUGCUGCGGCUGAUAGGGGAGUCGCGGAAGCCCGUCCGGAACUUCUCCGGCUAUAUCAUGUGGGCGGCGAGGAACGCGCCGGACGCCCCUAGCGCCGAGAGCGCCAUCUACGCCUCCGGCCCCUCCAGCGGAGAUGACUCUGUACUGGGACCAAUGCACGAUGAUGAUGUUCAAAUGGACGAUAACGCUCCAGGCAGUGAAUUGGCUUUCAAUCUCUCAAACCAUGCCAUGAUCGAGGUCGAAAGCCCUGCCCGUCAGACGCCUCACGGUUUACAUAGCAACAGCAACGGGAGCCCUGUUCGGGCAGUUGCUUGCUUGUUGCCGAACCCAGUUGCAAUGGAGGUUGAUAAACCUGAUUGCAAUGUCCCAGAAAUGUUACCCGUGAUGCCAAACCAAGGAGGAAUGGAAGAGUUUGUCGAGCAUCCGUCUUUCAGGAUGCAAGACCAGGUACAACCGUUGCAGGUUGGUAGUCCUACCCCGCCAUUGGCCCAUGGGGUGCCAGACCAGGCUAUGGUGCAAGUUGGGAGCCCUGGCCUCGGCAUGGUGUUUGAUAGCCCGGUCCGGCAGAUCAUUCCUACGUCUCCAAGGAUGGUUUCCACCCCAAGUCCAGUGCGCGAGAUCACAAGGCGUGUGCAUCAGAUGGGGUGCCCAUCAGGAACUGUGGGGGUCCAAGCAUCACCAACCAUGGAGUGCAUGAUGCCAGCAGACCCUCUUGUUACUGCAAACGCAUCAAGGGCAACCGCGAGCCGUCAGUUGUUAGCGUUGGGAGAGCUAGAGUUUGUUCAGAUUUUCAUGAUAUAUGUCUAUCUUGCAGGGAAGAAGAUAGAAGACGUGGGUGUACUACAUGAGGACUAUAUUAGGUCCUUGAAUUCACUGCCCAUGGAUCGUUUUGAGUUGGAAAUAUGGAACAAAUUUGGUCACGAGUUUCUAGCAGAGUGUGACAGGAGACAGAAUCUUGAUUGGGACCCAAGCAAGACAAGAGUGUACCAUUGCCAUAUCGAGCAAAGAGGCGAUUCUGUAGUUACGGUUUUCAAGGGGCCAUAUAUAGAGAACACAAGGACUAGUCUACAGAAAGUUGUUGGGGACGACAAUGUUCUUGUUGUGAACUUUUCAGAUAUAUCUGGGCACACCAAUGCUGGUGAUAACUUCGAAACCGGCUGUCACUUUUACCAUCACGUUUUUGAAGAUGGCAUCAUCUUGGGUUUGCGUCGCUAUCGCUUUUUGAUUUACAAAGAUGGAGGGAGGGAAAGGAGAAUAAAAGCGGAAAAAAAGAAAGAGAGAAACAAGAAAUGCACUUCUACUGUUAGGUGCUACUUUGUUCGCACCGAGUGUGACUGGGACAAGGGUGUGCCUUAUAUCCUCUCCAAGAGAACAAUUGGUGAUGCCCGCAAGCUUUUUAUGCACGUACACACUGUCCCCAGUGUGGCAAAAUAUGUGGCCAGGUUUGGUUUGGUAUUGUCCAAAACUAUUACACUACUCGAUGGUGAAGCCCUAUCAAAAAUUGACGUUGUAAUUGUUGAUGAUGUACCUUGCAAGGAUAAAAACGGAAGCAUUGUUCUCAAGCAUAGGGAGGCUUUGAUCCACACUGACGGGACUGGCCUAAUAUCAGAAGAUUUAGCUAAGAAAUGCCCUACAGAUGUAUUUAAGGGGAACCUUUUGAGGAUACAUGACGAUAGUGUGGAUUCAAAGGAGGAUCAAUUUGACAUCGAUGAUCAUCCUCUUCUUAUGCAGGUCCGUAUGUUCUAUAAUGGACUUGCUGUAAAGGGAACCCUUCUUGUUGUUAGAAAGCUUCCUGAGAGGACUAUCCAUAUACGACCAUCAAUGAUAAAAGUAAACUCAGAUCCUAGUUUAUCAGGUGGGCACUCCUUCAACUCACUGGAAAUUGUUUCAACGAGCAACCGACCCAAAAGGGCAUUGACUUCAAGGUUUUUAAUCACGCUGCUUCAAUAUGGAGGGGUUCCAGCGGAUUAUUUUAUGGAGCUUCUAGGGAAGGCACUAAAAGAUGUUGAGAAAGCUCGCCAUAAAACUAGAGAUUCCCUUGAAGUUGCAUUUAACCACGGUGACAUGGAUGAUUUAAUGUCUGCACGGAUGAUCCUUUCUGGAAUUCGACCAGAAGAUGAGGCAUACUUACAGCACCAGCUUACGACAAUGACCAAAGAGGAAAGAGAAGGAUUCAAACAAGGUAGGCUCCCUGUCGAUCAGUGUUAUUAUCUGAUGGGCACAACAGAUCCUACAGGGACACUAAAGCCCCAUGAAGUCUGUGUGAUAUUGGACCAUGGCCCCAUUUCUGGAGAGGUUCUUGUCUAUAGACAUCCUGGGCUGCAUUUUGGUGAUAUACAUGUCUUGACAGCCACAUAUAGUGAGGCUAUACAGGAUUUCGUGGGAGACUCCAAAUAUGCUAUUCUUUUUCCUGUUUCUGGACCACGAUCUCUAGCUGAUGAGAUGGCAGGUGGUGAUUUUGAUGGUGACAUGUACUGGGUCUCGAGAAACCCACAGUUACUGAAGUACUUCAAACCAUCGGAACCAUGGGAUCCAAGAAACCCUCCAAGGAAGGCUAAACAAGAGAAGCCUCAGGAUUAUGAUGAAUCCAAGCUGGAACACAUUUUAUUCCGUGAAUUUUUUAGAAUUAGGUUUACACCAAGUUAUGUGCUGGGUGCAGCUGCAGAUUGUUGGCUGGUAUAUAUGGAUCGGCUACUGACAUGUGAAGUUCAAGAAGACAAAAAAGAAUGGGAGUCGAUAAAGGCUAAGAUGCUUGAAUUGGUUGACAUUUACUAUGAGGCUCUGGAUGCCCCGAAAAGUGGGAACAAGAUCACUAUGCCUCGUCAUCUGAGGGUUGAAGUAUAUCCACACUUUAUGGAAGGGAAAGGGUUUACACCUCCCUACACUUCCACAUCAGUGCUGGGCAAAAUCUAUGAUUUAGCAAAGUCGCAUCAGCCUGAAGCAGCUCACCCAAUCAUUCGCGUCUCCAUUCUGUUCUUCAGAUAUAACUCCGCUGACAUGCUUCACCGAGGAAGUAGUAGCCGAAGAACGCAACAUGUGGGGUCCCCGUUACAACGAGUAUCGGACAGCGAGCACGUUGCUAUUGGACCGUAAUCGCCCAAUCUCUAAAGAAGAGAAGAAGGCGAGGUUCCGGGAGCUGGACCAAAAAUACAAGCAGAUGCUGUACGACGCGGCGGAGCUGGAGGAGAGCCACAAGCACCCGUUCGCCGUUUACAGGGAGGCCUGCGCGAUCUACCAGCUGGUGUACGAGCACGCGGUGCGGUGCCGGUGCGACGACGAAGGAAGGCGUGUCGAAAGGUGCGGCUUCGCGUGGAGGGUCGCCGGCCGCGCGCUGUGCGAUUUCUACCUGAUCAAGCGCCGCGGCGACAGGGUGGUCGCCGACAUGCAGGUCCUCCGCGACGCCUUCAGGAAGGACCUCGGUGCGUAGCAUAGCAUGCAUGCAGCCAUAUAGCGCUAUAGGCAGAGUAUAUAUAUAGCUUUAAGUAGAUAUCUGAUUAUCUAUGUAUGUACAGUACGUAGUAGUAGCAGCAGUGUCAUUGUGGUGUACGCGUACAGACCUGUGUAGUACAAGUUUGAAUUGCUGGUGCAUGUGUAUUUAUGUGUACAUGCAUGUAAUUAAAGACCUUCUCUAUA